rnacentral:rRNA from 1 species
GAUGAACGCUGGCGGCGUGCUUAACACAUGCAAGUCGAACGGAAAGGCCCAAGCUUGCUUGGGUACUCGAGUGGCGAACGGGUGAGUAACACGUGGGUGAUCUGCCCUGCACUUCGGGAUAAGCCUGGGAAACUGGGUCUAAUACCGGAUAGGACCACAUUUUGGAUGGUGUGGUGGAAAGUUUUUCGGUGUGGGACGAGCUCGCGGCCUAUCAGCUUGUUGGUGGGGUAAUGGCCUACCAAGGCGUCGACGGGUAGCCGGCCUGAGAGGGUGUACGGCCACAUUGGGACUGGGAUACGGCCCAGACUCCUACGGGAGGCAGCAGUGGGGAAUAUUGCACAAUGGGCGCAAGCCUGAUGCAGCGACGCCGCGUGGGGGAUGACGGCCUUCGGGUUGUAAACUCCUUUCGCUAGGGACGAAGCGUUAUGUGACGGUACCUGGAGAAGAAGCACCGGCUAACUACGUG